UCCUUGUUAGCGGGGAAUACCACAUUUGUCAUUUUUUCUGGAUUUAAGUGAUCAUUUACAAUAUGUACAGCUAAAUUGUUUCACUUCUCUGUUAAAUUUUAUUUGUAAAAAGGCUAUUUGACGAUGAGAUAUGGAGGUGGAAUUGCCGUUCUAUUUCUACGCGUUUCUAACCGAAUGAAAAUGUGAAUUUGACUGACGAAAAUUAAUGUUUCCUUUGGAGUAGAUGUUUGUAUAUGGUAUAUACGGCGCCUUCAUACAUUGCACGUCGAAUGUACACUCGAUUACUGGAGGCAAGGACAAUUUCCUGAAAAUCAAAGCCUGUUAUCCUGAAAGUGUCGUCUGAUUCCGUCAACAUGCCCGUGGCUUUAAGUGAGUGGAGAGUCCGAAUCGGAACUUUUAUCCAUAGGAUAAAAGAAUGGGUGGUCAGAGAGAUGAGAGAAGAAUUGCUUAAAGAACGUAUUCAGAGGCUAAGGGUUCUUUGGAAACGACUCAAAGCGAAGAAGGAUGAUUCUGAAGGAGGGUCGCAAGAUCACAAGGCCAGACAAGAUGAAAUGGAUUCAUCCGAUUCUUCGUUGGGAAAUCAACAAGGAGACUGCAAUGCCGAACCAUGCACCAAAGGGGACCAAGAUUCACCACCAUCGAGUUGUGUAGAGAAGGUACAUCAUAAACCCUCUAAUCAAAAGGCAACAUCUCAUACAGAGUCCGCUUCACUAAGUACACCGACACAUUCAAAGGUUUCCUCGGGACUUUGCCUAUCCCAUCCCUUUCUCUCUUCCUUUCUUUCUCAUUCCUUUUAUUGCUGCUUUCCUUUUAUUUUCCUA